rnacentral:rRNA from 1 species
UACGUAGGGUGCAAGCGUUGUCCGGAAUUAUUGGGCGUAAAGAGCUCGUAGGCGGUCUGUCGCGUCGGAUGUGAAAACCCGGGGCUCAACCCCGGGCCUGCAGUCGAUACGGGCAGACUAGAGUGCGGUAGGGGAGACUGGAAUUCCUGGUGUAGCGGUGAAAUGCGCAGAUAUCAGGAGGAACACCGGUGGCGAAGGCGGGUCUCUGGGCCGUAACUGACGCUGAGGAGCGAAAGCGUGGGGAGCGAACAGG